GAGAAAAGAAGCCCAUAGGACAAAGUCCUAUAUAGUAAUGGCUUAAAUGAUAUGCCGUCGACGUAAGGAGAGGCGAUACAUUAA
rnacentral:sRNA from 1 species